GUGCUCGCUUCAGCAGCACAUACACUAAAAUUGGAAUGAUACAGAGAAGAUCAGCAUGGCCCCUGCGCAAGGAUGACAUGCAAAUUCAUGAAGCGUUCCAUAUUUUU